AAAAUAAAGACAUUGUAUUUUUAACUGAAAUAGUCAAGUUCAUUACUUGUUUAUUUUUAUUUUUAUUAAACAAUAAAUUCAGCAAAGAAUUAUUGAGUACUGAAAUUAACAACUUGUUUAUAAAACAAAAACUGUAUACAUUUUUAUUAAUUAUACCAAGUAUAUUGUAUUAUAUCCAAAAUUUAUGUUUUCAUGUAUCAUUGACCAAUUUACCUACACCACUAUUUCAACUGUUAUAUCAGCUAAAAUUUUUUGUUUUUAUCAUUUUUUCGUUUAUUAUUUUAAAAAGGAAAGUAACAAUUACUCAACUUGUAUCCAUUACAAUGUUAAUUUUUUCGCUGUUAUGUCUAAAGGAUUAUGAUAUGUUUGGUGGUUAUAGUGGUUCAAAUAAUGCUACUGUAAAGCCUUUUAGUACAAAUGGAAUCAUUAGUGGUAAUACUAACCACAUACAAAACAAUGCUAAUAACAUUAUAUUAAAUUCAUUUUUAAAAAGUACCUUUUUAACUAUAUCUGUUCCACACCUCAAGAGUGCUUCUAUUAUUAGAAUGACAGACAUUGGCUAUAAAAAAUAUGGAGAUAGUAAUUAUGUUGACAAUGUUAAUAAAAGUAAAGUAAAAAUAUAUGAACUUAAAAAUAUACUAAUAGGAUUAUCAUCUACAUUUGUAGUUAUUUUAAUUAGUGGUUUUACAAGCGCUUUUCUAGAAUAUCUUUUUAUUAUGUAUAAAAAUUCAUUUUUAAUACAAAAUGUGUUACUAUCAUUUUUUACUAUUAUACUUAGCAUAUUUACCAAAAAAAUAGAUUUAAUGUUUUUAUUAAAGAUGCCAUUAAAAUUGCAAAAAACAAACUUGACACAACAAAAGUAUCUACCAAAACAAUCAUAUACCAUAAAUGAUAAUACCUUUAAAAAUAACAUAAAACAAAAUGAACCAACUGAAUCAACUAACCCAACUGAAUCAACUAACCCAACUGAAUCAACUAACCCAACUGAAUCAACUAACCCAACUGAAUCAACUAACCCAACUGAAUCGACUAACCCAACUGAAUCGACUAACCCUAAUAAAUCAAAUAAACAGCGGCACCUCUUGUUUUUAUUAUCCUUAUUAUCAUUAGUAUACAACAAAAUAACAUAUUUUUAUAAUAAGUAUUUUAACUCUCUUGGUGAAUUUAUAUAUAUAGUUAUUUUUGUCUUUUUAAACAGCAUUGGGGGUAUUAUCAUAGGUUUUUUUAUCACAUAUUUAGGUAACGCGAUAAGGUUUUUUGUAACACCUAUUAGUUUGUUAUUUAAUAUUUAUAUAUCUUCCUUUAUUUUUAAAGAUUUUCAUAUUACUUUUAAUUAUUUCAUUUCUUUAAUACUUGUCUUUUCAGCGUUGUACCUUUAUUUAAAAAAGGAUAUUAAUAAUAAGAG
rnacentral:lncRNA from 1 species